CGGAGUGCGUGGCAUCUAAGCACAAAUUAUUUAGUCAUUACAGUAGUAGCUUUUGUGGUUGUGGAAAGCCCAUGAAGUAUUCGUUAAAUCAGUUGUCUAAUGCUGAGUCAAAUAAUAUUGUUGUUUGUGAUCCUCGAGAUGAAGGGGUGUUUAUUAGAGGACUGACCCGGCUUAUAAUAAGUGACGAAUUACAAUUGAUGCCCCCAA
rnacentral:misc_RNA from 1 species